rnacentral:rRNA from 1 species
AGAUCAUCAGCUAAGGCCCCGAAGAGCAUGCUAAGUGUGACAAGGAUGUAGGGACCCGGAAACAGCCAGGAGGUUGGCUCAGAAGCAGCCAUCCUUGAAAGAGUGCGUAACAGCUCACUGGUCUAGUGGUUCCGCGCCGACAAUGUAGCGGGGCUCAAGCACACCACCGAAGACGCGGCAGCAAUCUUCAUGGUUGCUGGGUAGGAGAGCGUCCUGCAUGGGGCGAAGCGGCGGUGGAAACCGGCCGUGGACCGUGUGGGAGUGAGAAUGCAGACAUGAGUAGCGAGAGACGGGUGAGGAUCCCGUCCGCUGGAUGACCAAGGGUUCCGGGGCCACGUUCGUCGUCCCCGGGUGAGUCGGGUCCUAAGGCGAGGCCGACAGGCGUAGUCGAAUGGAUGAACGGGUGGAUAUUCCCGUACCGACCAUGGACCGGCAAAACCGAGACGGUGAGUACUAACCUCCGCCUCGUGGUGGUUCCUUCCUUCGGGUUGGUAUCGCCGCGUGGUGUUGGGAGCGUAGCCGCAGUAGGUCAGCGCAGGGGUGACACGGAAUGGGAGCCGGCCGCGGAGGUGGUUUUCCGUGGUCAAGCACGCAGCCAGUCAUGUAGGCAAAUCCGCAUGGCGCGCAUGGCGAGGUGUGAUGAUGGGAGCCGUUAUGGCUCGAUAUCCGGUUGUCCAGGCCGUCGAGAAAAGCCUCGGCGUGAGGGCCAUGGCCGCCCGUACCCCAAACCGACACUGGUGGUCAGGUAGAGAAUACCAAGGCGAUCGAGCGAAUCCUGGUCAAGGAACUCGGCAAAUCACUCCCGUGCCUUCGGUAUAAGGGAGACCCGCUGGGGUGAACCGGCUAGCCCGGGGAGCUUUGGUGGGUGGCACAGACCAGGGGGUAGCGACUGUUUACCAAAAACACAGGUGCAUGCGAAGGCGAAAGCCGCUGUAUAUGCACUGACGCCUGCCCGGUGCCGGAAGGUUAAGAGGAUCCGUCAAUCCCUUCGGGGACGAAGCGGUGAAUUCAAGCCCCGGUAAACGGCGGUGGUAACUAUAACCAUCCUAAGGUAGCGAAAUUCCUUGUCGGGUAAGUUCCGACCUGCACGAAUGGCGUAACGACUUCCCCACUGUCUCGACCAGGAGCUCGGCGAAAUUGCAGUACGAGUAAAGAUGCUCGUUAAGCGCAGAAGGACGAAAAGACCCCGGGACCUUUACUAUACCUUGGUAUUGGCGUUAGGCGCGGAUUGUGUAGCAUAGGCGGGAGGCUUUGAAACGGUGGCGCCAGCCAUCGCGGAGCCGCAAGGUGAAAUACCGCUCUGUUCUCGUUUGAUGUCUAACCUCGAACAGUCAUCCUGUUCAGGGACAGUGCCUGGCGGGUAGUUCAACUGGGGCGGUUGCCUCCCAAAGAGUAACGGAGGCGCUCAAAGGUCCGCUCAGCCCGGUUGGCAAUCGGGUGUCGAGUGUAAUCGCACAAGCGGGCUUGACUGCGAGGACGACGGUCCGAGCAGGGACGAAAGUCGGAGAUAGUGAUCCGGUGCCGGCGCACGGGCGCGGCAUCGCUCAACGGAUAAAAGGUACCCCGGGGAUAACAGGCUGAUCAUUCCCAAGAGUCCAUAUCGACGGGAUGGUUUGGCACCUCGAUGUCGGCUCGUCGCAUCCUGGGGCUGGAGCAGGUCCCAAGGGUUCGGCUGUUCGCCGAUUAAAGCGGCACGCGAGCUGGGUUCAGAACGUCGUGAGACAGUUUGGUCUCUAUCCUCUGCGCUCGUUGGAAUCUUGAGGAGGCCUGCCCAUAGUACGAGAGGACCUGGGUGGACGAACCUCUGGUAUGCCGGUUGUCGCGCCAGCGGCACGGCCGGUUGGCUACGUUCGGGAGGGAUAACCGCUGAAAGCAUCUAAGCGGGAAGCCUGCUCCAAGAUUAGGAUUCCAUGGAUCUUCGAGAUCCUGUAGCCCGCAUGUUGAACACGUGUUUGAUAGGCCGGAGGUGGAAGCCCCGUGAGGGGUGGAGCCGACCGGUACUAACGGGCGAUGGCGACACAAC